UAACUCGUGAAGCAACAUCUCAGAAUUGAAUCGGCGAGUUGUGUAUUUGCUGGCAAUCCGAGCCUGCUUGGAUCAUUUUGGAAGAUACAUACCCCUGCGCUUUUCAAAGCGGACAGACGUGCCCGUGUCCAACUUGACAAAGGCGGAAUUAUUUUAGGAAAGGUAUAUUAUUUGUAAAAAAAAAUAUACAAUUUUUAAGUAACAUAUUUGACAGACCAUGGCAACUAGUAAAGCAGAAUCCGAGAAUUCAAUCGGUGGCUGUAUGUUGACUGACAAGAAUAUAAUUGCUGUUAAUCCAGCCCUGCUUCUUGUACAAAUGCAUAGUGGGGAGACAUGAACAUUUUUCGAAAUUGCGGCCCUAUCCUCUUGGGAUUCUACGUUGGACAAAUUCUGAAAACGACCCAGAAAUAUAAUUGGAGGUUCAAACCCGUGCGAGGUGAGGUUUGAUAUAUGAAACAGACCAGUCAUGGGGACACGAGAUAUGCAAAGUUUCAGCGUAGUCGUCGCCACAUUGCUGCCAACACUGCAUAUAUAAGGAAUCACGAACCAUUCAGGAAUAUUGAGACUUAGACCAGUAUCUUUUUAAGUAGGCAUGUGGGGUAAAGAAGACGCAGAAGCUUCAGUCGGGUACCAUCGGUAACGUAGGCGAUUAAUAUAUUUCCACCACUACAUAUGUUGGAUUGGAAUUUCCCAUUUGAUGCUUUGACUGACUAAAUGAGGAAACUUGGAGGUAAGCUCUUACGGAAUUCUAUCGAAAUAUGUUUAGUAACAUAUUGGUGCAUUACUCUGUCUUCCAGUCAGUUUCACAUAAACUUUGCACGUAUUAUAGAAAUGCCACCUACUUUUUUUGUGUUAAUAUUAUUGAAAGUAGUAGCUGGUAGCUGUAGUCGUAAGCCCAGAGAGUCUCUGUUUUGAACAUAAUACACAAAAUGGGGCGUUCAAAAACAAUAGACUGCAUGCCUUUUAGAGUCGGCGUAAACUAUGGUCAUAUACCCCUGAUCAAAUUCAGAACUAGAAAAUCGUUGUGUCUCUGCAUUAAAAAUAAUAGUAAAAUUUAUUGUAGGCACCAAGUAGAGUAUCGAAAAUUUCCAUUUUUAGUGCCAAAUUGGUUACUCCAGUAAAUUCCAACUGUUCUAAUUUUUUUAAAAUAAUUUAUGAUGUUAGUGAGUUUCAUUGCAAUUAUUUGUUACUUAAACUUUCUGCGUAUUAAACCUUAAUUAACAAUACGCUAUUCGUUAACGCAGGUAGAAUUAAUGACGCUGACUAACCUGAUUUUGUCCAGGGGGGCGUAGUACGGUAGCUUG